AUGCGGAUUUUUAGGUCUGAUGACAAAGGAUGGUACAUAUGCGAACACAAAUCAAAGCACAACCAUGAGCUUUCAGUUAAUUGUAUGGAAAAUUUGCAUUGGAAGUCGCACCGGCACAUCGAUAGAUACACGAGGGUCUUGGUGAAGCAGCUGAGAGAAAACAACAUAAGCCUAAGCAAGGUUUACAGUGUUGUUGGAAAAAAUUUUGGAUCUGUGAAGGAGGUACCAUUCACGAAAAGAUCUUUGAAAAAUCUUUGUGAAAAACUUAAUAGAGAACAGUCGGAAAAUGAUGCCACAAAAACCAUAGAGGUAUUCAACGCAACGCGGGCUGAAGAUCCUGAGUUCAAAUGUAGUGUAUAG
rnacentral:rRNA from 1 species